CCCAGCCCGGCUCCCCGGGCGCUGCAGGUGACCCGGCGGCGCAUUCCAGAGCUCCCCGCCGUCCCAGCCACCGCCGCCGCUGCCACCGCCGGCGCCCCGGCCGCGACUCAGCCACAGGGAGGGAGAGCGCCCGAGCCGCUCCUCCAGACCGACCGAUGGGCUGAGCUUCCUCCGGCUGAUGCUGGAGUCGGAGAAGCGUCCAGAACGAUGCGCUCCAGCCGGGCAAUUGCCUCGGCUUGGGAAACAGAACUUGGAAAACGAAUCCUUUUCAUUAAAGACAAAUCUUCUAA